rnacentral:siRNA from 1 species
AGCUGCGACUUCAGAAGCUGUUGG